CGGCUGGGGGCUUUAUUAGGGGGCACCGGGGUCUGCUUUCCGACUCCCUUCCGACUCCGCGCCUGCGCAGGAAGCGAUUUGGGGAGUGUUGUGAAUUCCGAGGGCUCCACACUUAAGAGGUUGUACACUCACCUGUCUACCUGGACUCCAAUUUCCAUAUUUCCAGCCACUUGAGGACUGAGAGGUGGAUGAUAAACCCUGUCAUAGUGGAGCAAGUUCAGGUGUUUAACCGCUGUUAUGGGGGAUCUGCCUUUUCUCCCUCUUCUUUCUUACUUCCAUAAGUAUGUAUGUGCAGAGAUUGAAAAAUAACCUUGAGAGAGUCCAUCCAUCUAACUCCAGAAUCUCUCUCUGUCACCCAGGCUGGAGUGCAGUGGCGUGAUUUUGGCUCACUGUAUCCUUCGCCUCCCUGGCUCAAGUGAUUCUCCUGCCUCAGCCUCCCAAGUAGCUUGGAUUACAGAGGUUGUUGGCUUCCAUCAGGGGUGGUCAUUUCCAAUCAGACACCUAAGAACUCCUGCUAAUGGGCAAUGAUGGAGGCACAUUCUAGAUGGAGGCACAUUCUAGAAACGCUUGAAACUGUGUGUUGCUUUGGACAGCUGUUUCAGGAAACAUUGCAGCGUUAUAAGAGAAAUUAUAGACUAUUUGUUGAAGCUCAGCAUGUCCAUCUCCCUGCUUUGAAGAAGGCAAGCUUCAUUAAAACCAACAUCUUACUUGGCCUAAAACAUCUUUGGAGUAGGAGAUUUAUGGCCUUUCUGGGAAAGUAGUUCUAAUUUUUAUAAACCUUAGAAUUAAGAAGUUCUUUUGUAAAUACAAUUAUAAUUCUUUCUUCUCGAUUUUGAGUCAUUUAUUCUUAUUCAAUAUCCAUAAAAGUAAAUAAUUGAAAUACAUAUUUCCUCACCAAAAUUUUAUUAAUUACCUACAUAAUUUAUCUAUUUAGGAAAUGGAAUUAGAAACCUGUACCUUAUAAAAUUGAUGGUGAACAUGAAAUGAGGUAUUAUAUGCAUUAAUUCACUUAUUUAUUAAACAAAUUUAGUUGAGUA
rnacentral:lncRNA from 1 species